rnacentral:pre_miRNA from 1 species
UUACUGAGCAAGUCUUCUUUGACAGACUUCCACCAAGCGACAUAUGGAAACGUGGAUUAUCUGCCAAAGGAGAUUUGCUCACUAACU